rnacentral:rRNA from 1 species
GACGAACGCUGGCGGCGUGCCUAAUACAUGCAAGUUGAGCGCUGAAGGUUGGUACUUGUACCAACUGGAUGAGCAGCGAACGGGUGAGUAACGCGUGGGGAAUCUGCCUUUGAGCGGGGGACAACAUUUGGAAACGAAUGCUAAUACCGCAUAAAAACUUUAAACACAAGUUUUAAGUUUGAAAGAUGCAAUUGCAUCACUCAAAGAUGAUCCCGCGUUGUAUUAGCUAGUUGGUGAGGUAAAGGCUCACCAAGGCGAUGAUACAUAGCCGACCUGAGAGGGUGAUCGGCCACAUUGGGACUGAGACACGGCCCAAACUCCUACGGGAGGCAGCAGUAGGGAAUCUUCGGCAAUGGACGAAAGUCUGACCGAGCAACGCCGCGUGAGUGAAGAAGGUUGUCGGAUCGUAAAAAUCUGUUGGUAGAGAAGAACGUUGGUGAGAGUGGAAAGCUCAUCAAGUGACGGUAACUACCCAGAAAGGGACGGCUAACUACGUG